GAUGAACGCUGGCGGUGUGCCUAAUACACGCAAGUCGAGCGAACGGACGAGAAGCUUGCUUCUCUGAUGUUAGCGGCGGACGGGUGAGUAACACGUGGAUAACCUACCUAUAAGACUGGGAUAACUUCGGGAAACCGGAGCUAAUACCGGAUGAUAUUUUGAACCGCAUGGUUCAAAAGUGAAAGACGGUCUUGCUGUCACUUAUAGAUGGAUCCGCGCUGCAUUAGCUAGUUGGUAAGGUAACGGCUUACCAAGGCAACGAUGCAUAGCCGACCUGAGAGGGUGAUCGGCCACACUGGAACUGAGACACGGUCCAGACUCCUACGGGAGGCAGCAGUAGGGAAUCUUCCGCAAUGGGCGAAAGCCUGACGGAGCAACGCCGCGUGAGUGAUGAAGGUCUUCGGAUCGUAAAACUCUGUUAUUAGGGAAGAACAUAUGUGUAAGUAACUGUGCACAUCUUGACGGUACCUAAUCAGAAAGCCACGGCUAACUACGUG
rnacentral:rRNA from 1 species